UAGAAUUCCAAAUCCAUGUACUUUGAUUUACAACAGGAACUGAAAAAGCAUCCAGAAGACAAAUUUCUCUUCAAACAAAAGUAUUCAGAUUAGAGGGUCGAACCGAUAAAAGAGAGAAAAUCCGUCUAUUGACUAGAAGAAAUAAAACAUAGAUCAGGAUAAAGUGUGUAUUAACGAUCAUGGGUAAUAGUGGAGGAACGAGUGGCGGAGGCGGCCAAGGAAGUGGUGGAGGAGGCGGCGGUGGGAGUGCUGGAUCCCAGGGAGGCGG